CUUGCACAACAUAUCGCCGUCGUCAUCGUAUCCAGCACCACGAUCACCAUCACCACCGUAGCAUCAAAACGGACCACCACCGUUGCAGCAGUACCACCAAAUAAUGUUAUUCUCAAUCAAAUUAGAUUCCAAUAAUUAUUCCACCAUCACCACCACCGGAACCAGAUUCCAAUAAUCAUUCCACCAUUACCACCACCGGAACGAGCAGCAUCAACCUCCGCCAGCACCUACUGUCAUUAAUCUCUACCCUAAUCGUUAUUUGAGCUCCUUAAAUGGGAUCGGGUGAUGGCUCAAGGAAGAGAUAUCCCAUUGAUGCUUCAGUGGAGUGCAACCAGGCGUAUAGCUCUAGAACCAAAAAAAUCCAAGACUCAUCGACCGUGCUCAAUGUCACGAACUGGUCCAACCAGAAAAUGAAAAAGGUCAUGCCUUCCUUUUUAUUUCAGAGUUUUUUCUCCCUGUUUAAUUAUGUAUAAAUGUGAUGAAAUUAAAUGACUAUCUUUUGCAACUGUAUACAUAGCAGCAGUGGGAAAACAAAACUUAUGUUUAGGCCUCCUUAGAAUCCCGAGCAUCAUUUAGCAGGCUAAACAUCAAGAGUUGCAAAGUUCUGCAUAAAAGAGAAAAAGACGGGAAAAUGAUCGUAGUGUUUACCAAAACUCUUGAUGUAAAUAAAUAUUUCUGAUUGAAAAAUUAUUAAAUGAAAAUUUUGAUUUUAGUUGGAGUUACUUUUUGUCUAAAUAAAUAUUUUUGAU